AGUGAACGCUGGCGGUAGGCCUAACACAUGCAAGUCGAACGGCAGCACAGUAAGAGCUUGCUCUUACGGGUGGCGAGUGGCGGACGGGUGAGGAAUACAUCGGAAUCUACUUUUUCGUGGGGGAUAACGUAGGGAAACUUACGCUAAUACCGCAUACGACCUACGGGUGAAAGCAGGGGAUCUUCGGACCUUGCGCGAUUGAAUGAGCCGAUGUCGGAUUAGCUAGUUGGCGGGGUAAAGGCCCACCAAGGCGACGAUCCGUAGCUGGUCUGAGAGGAUGAUCAGCCACACUGGAACUGAGACACGGUCCAGACUCCUACGGGAGGCAGCAGUGGGGAAGAUUGGACAAUGGGCGCAAGCCUGAUCCAGACAUACCGCGUGGGUGAAGAAGGCCUUCGGGUUGUAAAGCCCUUUUGUUGGGAAAGAAAAGCAGCAGGUUAAUACCCCGCUGUUCUGACGGUACCCAAAGAAUAAGCACCGGCUAACUUCGUG
rnacentral:rRNA from 1 species